GUCCCGACUCUUCUCACGUUCUCUUUCUGGUCGACUCCUGCUUCUACUAGACGGCUCUAUCUCCCUAUCCCUCUCACGAUCACUUUCUCUCCUACCUCGUUCACGUUCCUUCUCUUUGUCUCUCCCAUUACUCUCCUCCUUGUCCCUGUCCUUGACUCUGUGUUCUCAGCUACUCCUGUGCUGUACAAUUCUACAUUCAAGAGCUUGUUGCAAGUGGCAUCUCGGAAGAGGAGAGGAAAGCUUCCAUGGACUCGGUGAACCCUAAAUAUAUUCUCAGGAACUACCUAUGCCAGAGUGCUAUUGAUGCAGCUGAAAUGGGUGAUUUCGAAGAAGUCCGGAGGCUGCUUAAAGUAAUGGAGAGGCCAUAUGAUGAGCAACCGGGAAUGGAAAAAUACGCACGUUUGCCUUUUCAGCAUGGUUGAACUUGAGUUGGUCAUGUGAGUUAUAUCCCACAUCGGUGGUUCUUGGGAAUAAGGGAUAAAGUGGAGUGUAUAAAAGGGAUGGGUUUCAGCAAAUUAAAACAAAACCCUUCUAGCUUGAAUCUAGUUAAAAAACGAGUUUGAAUGGAGUUAAAAAAACAAGUCUGAAUCGAGCUCAAAAACGAGUUUGAAUCGAGCUUAUGAAUUUUUUUGAGUUUGA